GGCAGUGUGGUCUGGUAGUUAAGAAGGCAGACUUUGGAACCAGUCUGUCUGCCUGGGGUCAAAUCCUACCACUGCCA
rnacentral:tRNA from 1 species